UAAGCCAUGCGAGUCGGCUGGGGGCCCUUGCCCCUGGCGGCGCACGGCUCAGUAAUACACGGUCAACCUGCCCUGGGGACCGGGAUAACCUCGGGAAACUGAGGCUAAUCCCGGAUAGGGGUGGAUUCCUGGAAUGGGUCCACCCCCAAAGUAGGCGGGGGAAUGGCCCCGCUGAGGCCCCAGGAUGGGACCGUGGCCCAUCAGGUAGUAGGUGGGGUAACGGCCCACCUAGCCUAAGACGGGUGCGGGCGGUGGGAGCCGGAGCCCGGAGAUGGGCACUGAGACAAGGGCCUAGGCCCUACGGGGCGCAGCAGGCGCGAAACUUCCCCAAUGCGCGCAAGCGUGAGGGAGUGAGCCCGAGUGCCGCCCGCUGAGGGCGGCUGUUCCCGGGUGUAAACAGCCCGGGGUAGGAAGGGGAGGGUAAGGCUGGUGCCAGCCGCCGCGGUAAAACCAGCUCCUCGAGGGGUCCCCACGCAUACUGGGCCUAAAGCGUCCGUAGCCGGCCCCGUAAGUCCCCGGUUAAAUCCACCGGAAGACCGGUGGGCCGCCGGGGAUACUGCGGGGCUAGGGAGCGGGAGGGGCCGAGGGUAUUCCGGGGGAUAGCGGUAAAAUGCGUAGAUCCCCGGAGGACCACCAGUGGCGAAGGCGCUCGGCUGGAACGCGUCCGACGGUGAGGGACGAAAGCUGGGGGAGCAAACCGGAUUAGAUACCCGGGUAGUCCCAGCCGUAAACGAUGCCGGCUAGGUGCCGGCCGAGGUUUCGGCCUCGGCCGGUGUCGAAGCGAAGGCGUUAAGCCGGCCGCCUGAGGAGUACGGCCGCGAGGCUGAAACUUGAAGGAGUUGACGGGGGGGCACCACAAGGGGUGAAUGCCUGCGGCUCAAUUGGACUCAACGCCGGGAAUCUUACCGGGGGCGACAGCAGGAUGAAGGUCAGGCUGAAGACCUUACCU
rnacentral:rRNA from 1 species